GUCCAGUCGAUGAGUUCCAAAUAGAACGAAAUGCACUUCCUGGAU
rnacentral:hammerhead_ribozyme from 1 species